rnacentral:rRNA from 1 species
AUAAUUUUUAAGUUUAUUUUAAUUAAAAUAAUAAAUUUUUUAUUAUAAAUUAAGAAAAAAUUAGUUUAAUUAUAGAUUAUUAGUAUUGAAAAAGAAAUUUUAUAAAAUUUUUAAAAGAAAAAUAUUUUUGUACCUUGUGUAUCAGGGUUUAUUAAAUAAAUAUUAAUUUUUUAAUUUUCUCGAAUUUAAAAGAGCUAAUUUUUUAUUUAUUUUAUUGUUUCAUAAAUAUUUAUAAUAAAAAAUUAGUAAUGAAAUGUUAUUCGUUUUUAAAUAUAUCUAGUUUUUUUAGAAAAAAAUUUAAUUUUUUAAAUAAUUUUAAAUUUUAUAAUUUUUUAUUAAGUUUAAAUUAUUUAAUAAUAAUUUUAGGGAUAAGCUUAAAAUUAAAAUAUUAAAAUUAAAUAUAAAAUUAAUAAAUUGUAGAAUUAGAAUUUUUUUUCAAUAAAAAUAUGUAAAAAUUUAUUAUUUUAUUUAUAAAAUUUUUAUUUAAUUUAAUUUUUUUAUAAAAAUAAUUAAUUUAAUUAUAAAUUUAAUGUAAUUAUGAUAAAAUUAGUAUAAUAAAAAGUUUAAAUAAAUUAAUUUAAAAGGUAAAAUUAAUUAAUUCGGCAAAAAAAAUUUUUCACCUGUUUAUUAAAAACAUCUCUUUUUGAUAUUAAUUUAAAGUAGGGCCUGCCCACUGAAUUUUUGAAGGGCCGCAGUAUUUUGACUGUGCAAAGGUAGCAUAAUCAUUAGUUUUUUAAUUGAAAGCUUGUAUGAAUGGUUUGAUGAGAAAAUUACUGUCUCAGUUUUAUUUUUUUAGAAUUUUAUUUUUAAGUUAAAAAGCUUAAAUUUAUUUUAAAGACGAGAAGACCCUAUAGAGUUUAAUUUCAAUUUAAUUUUUAAAAUUUUAGUAUUAAAAAUUUUUAAUUUUAGUUGAAAUUGUGUUGGGGUGACAAAAAAAUUAAAUUAACUUUUUUUUUAUUAAAACAUAAAUUAAUGAAUUUUUGAUCCAUAUAAAUGAUUAUAAGAUUAAAUUACCUUAGGGAUAACAGCGUAAUUUUUUUUGAAAGUUCUUAUUGAAAAAAAAGAUUGCGACCUCGAUGUUGGAUUAAAAUUAAUUUUUGGUGUAGAAGCUAGAAAUUUUAGGUCUGUUCGACCUUUAAAAUUUUACAUGAUCUGAGUUUAAACCGGUGUAAGCCAGGUUGGUUUCUAUCUUGAUUUAAAGAAAAUAUUUUAGUACGAAAGGAUCAAAUAUUUUAUUAAAAAUAUAUUUAAUGAAUAAAAUU